GACGAACCACACGAACGUUAUUCGGAAUUACUGGGCUUAAAGGGUGCGUAGGCGGCGUGGCAAGUUGGGUGUGAAAUACCUCGGCUCAACCGAGGAAUGGCGCUCAAAACUGUCGCGCUUGAGGGAGAUAGAGGUGAGCGGAACUUAAGGUGGAGCGGUGAAAUGCGUUGAUAUCUUAAGGAACACCCGUGGCGAAAGCGGCUCACUGGAUCUCUUCUGACGCUCAUGCACGAAAGCCAGGGGAGCGAACGGG
rnacentral:rRNA from 1 species